UACCCUGCCUUGCGCUCGUUGCUGGCCAGGUAGGCUCGGGCUUCCCGCGACACCAUAUGGGAUAAAGCGGCUUGGUAAAUGACAUGACUUUAUUAGCCCUAUACAGUUUCUUGCAUUAGGAAUUCGUCUUUUCGCAUACCCCAGCUUGCUCUCCAUGAGACACACAGACACACAGGCAGUUGGAGUUAAGAGCCUUGCUCAGGGGCCCAAUGGAGUAGGAUUCCUCCACUGGCUGCGGGAUUUGAACCUGCAACCUUCCAGCCACAGGCGCAGAUCCUUAGCCACAGAACCACUGCUCUGUGACCUGCUGUUUUAUGUGACACCUCAGGAAUAGCUGAAACACAGGAUAGCAUCAUCAGGAAGAGCUACCAGAUCACAAAGGGGAUUGAUUACUCUUAAACCCACAUAUAUGGCAAUAACACGUCUGGACCUGAACUAUAAAACCCUCUACAACAGUGUGGGAAGUACACAGUGUGUGUGUUUCCUUCAGUGUGCUACAGAGGGGGCUGUUUUCGUCACAAUUAAAGUCAUCUCAAAUCUUCACUAGAUUUAGCUGUGACUCCUUGCUUCCCUUCAAACUCAUGGGUUCCUGCACGAACCAUAAGACUUGGACAGAAGGUACAUGUGAUUAUUCAGACUAUAACUCCGUGGCUGAGGUCUCUGUUUUCUAAUUCCAGCUUGAAUAAGAUUGUCUCCAGCUCGGAGGGCAGAAGUGCGACGGUCCUGAGUCUGCUGAGCUCCAUGAAGACCUGCAGGAUUGAGGAGAUAGAGGUGAAUGGCAUCCGGAUGGGAGACAGCGGAGUGCUGGAGCUAUGUCGGCACAUUCCUCUGUGGAAGGGACUGCGGAGAAUCAGGUGGGCAAAGACCGCUGUCUCUGCAGGGAGAUCAGACAGCAACCACAGAGCUUGCAAGGAAGAGAACAGAAAGGCGUGGGCCUCGCAUGGUCCAUGGUCUGGUCAGAGUUCAGCCUUAUCAUCUGGUGCCACAGUGUUUGGACCACAGGGUGUAACGGGAGCUGGUCCUGACUCCUGUGAAGUGUGUAGUUUAGGACCCUGUGCAGACGGUAUUAUCUGGAAGUGACUGGAAAACAUGGUGAGGAACGGAAGGGAUGGCGAACAGGGGACGGCGCCUACAGUGAUCCAGGUGCCGGGAGGGGGGUGCAGGCAAACAAGUCCAAAAUGGUCCAAAGGGGAAAUCAGGUGCGCAGUCCAAAAUCCCAAACCAGGUGAUCCCUCCAAGACAAGACAUGAAUAAAAACAGGAACAGGAUCAGGGACAAGGUAGUUAAAACGAGGCCAGGUGCUCCGAGCUGGUCAGGACGCCAAUCGGAAGCCUAUGCCUUCAAGCCACAGAUGUAGGGCGACUUGAUGCUAGGCGGGCCUCUGGGUGUCCGUCUUCCAAUGCAGAGCCCUGAGCUUCAGAGGCACGAGGUUUAA
rnacentral:lncRNA from 1 species